ACUUAUGAUAACCCCUUGCAUUCUAAUCCAGCAUACUCAGUUGUGAAGCAUCACUUUGUUGACAUGGAUGAUACAGUUCCUCAGAAGAUUGUUGUUCAUAAGGACAGUCAUCGAGGAGUACAUUUUCGGCGUGCUGGUCCACAUCAGAAGGUUUAUUUCAGUUCAGAUGAUGUAAAAUCAUCUUCCAUUCAAUAGAAAAUGUGGUGGUUUGUGCCCUGGGCUAAAAGGAGCAGCUUUAAUUAUGAG